AGAGCGAACGCUGGCGGCAGGCCUAACACAUGCAAGUCGAGCGCCCCGCAAGGGGAGCGGCAGACGGGAGAGUAACACGUGGGAACGUACCCUUUGGUUCGGAACAACACAGGGAAACUUGUGCUAAUACCGGAUAAGCCCUUACGGGGAAAGAUUUAUUGCCAAAGGAUCGGCCCGCGUCUGAUUAGCUUGUUGGUGAGGUAACGGCUCACCAAGGCUACGAUCAGUAGCUGGUCUGAGAGGAUGAUCAGCCUCACUGGGACUGAGACACGGCCCAGACUCCUACGGGAGGCAGCAGUGGGGAAUAUUGGACAAUGGGCGCAAGCCUGAUCCAGCCAUGCCGCGUGGAUGAUGAAGGCCCUAGGGUUGUAAAGUCCUUUCGGACGGGAAGAUAAUGACGGUACCCGUAGAAGAAGCCCCGGCUAACUUCGUGCCAGCAGCCGC
rnacentral:rRNA from 1 species